UACAGAGGUGGCAAGCGUUGUUCGGAAUUACUGGGCGUAAAGGGCGCGUAGGCGGCCUUCUAAGUCAGACGUGAAAUCCCCCGGCUUAACCUGGGAACUGCGUCUGAUACUGGGAGGCUUGAGUAUGGGAGAGGGAUGUAGAAUUCCAGGUGUAGCGGUGAAAUGCGUAGAUAUCUGGGAGGAAUACCGGUGGCGAAGGCGGCUCUCUGGACCGUAACUGACGCUGAGGCGCGAAAGCGUGGGGAGCAAACAGG
rnacentral:rRNA from 1 species